CUCCGCUUAGCUCAGCUGGAAGUAGCGCAUGACUGUAAUUGGCUCUUACGAGAGAUUUCACGUUAUCAUGAGGUCGCCUGUUCGAUCCAGGCAGCGGAGA